rnacentral:tRNA from 2 species
GCCGACUUAGCUCAGUAGGCAGAGCGAUACACCCGUAAUGUAUAGGCCACAGGUUCGAUUCCUGCAGUCGGCACCA